AAAUUUUUAAUUUAAUUAAAAAUAUUUCAUUUACACUGAAAUUAUAUUAUUAUUAUUUU
rnacentral:tRNA from 1 species